rnacentral:miRNA from 1 species
GAGGGAUUUUGCGGGAAUUUCACG